rnacentral:lncRNA from 1 species
CCCUGGUUCCCCUGAAAUUGCUCCAUGAAAGAACCUUCUGAGCAUAAUUGAGCCAGCCUCAGUGUCCCCAGUUUUUUGGUAUUGAUCCAACCCCACGUUGAUCUCAUCUCCCUCCACAUUGAAAGAAUCCAAUCUAUUCUGCACUAUUUUGUGCUUGUUUAUUGAAAAUGAGUAUGAAUGAAUUUGAGAUUUA